CCUACGGGAGGCAGCAGUGGGGAAUAUUGCACAAUGGGCGAAAGCCUGAUGCAGCAACGCCGCGUGAGCGAUGAAGGCCUUCGGGUCGUAAAGCUCUGUCCUCAAGGAAGAUAAUGACGGUACUUGAGGAGGAAGCCCCGGCUAACUACGUGCCAGAAGCCGCGGUAAUACGUAGGGGGCUAGCGUUAUCCGGAAUUACUGGGCGUAAGGGGUGCGUAGGUGGUUUCUUAAGUCAGAGGUGAAAGGCUACGGCUCAACCGUAGUAAGCCUUUGAAACUGGGGAACUUGAGUGCAGGAGAGGAGAGUGGAAUUCCUAGUGUAGCGGUGAAAUGCGUAGAGAUUAGGAGGAACACCAGUUGCGAAGGCAGCUUACCAAUCUAUAUCUGACGUUGAGGCACGAAAGCGUGGGGAGCAAACAGGAUUAGAUACCCGGGUAGUC
rnacentral:rRNA from 1 species